CUGGUUGGUGGGGAACUUCAACUUCAAAUGGUAGGUCGAAACGACAGCUCGGAGGGCAUUGAGGCCGGAUCGGCCAAGGAUUGCAUUGUAGGCGGACGGCGCCUUCACCACCAAGAAAUUCACCAGAGCCCUGGAUUGCUUUGGAUAUUGACCCGCGGUCACAAUCAAAGCUAUCAUUCCUUCCGUCGGAACGGCAUCACUGGUAAACCCCACCAGGGGGGAGCAAAUUGGCCUCAGAU
rnacentral:lncRNA from 1 species